ACACAUUUAUCAUCACAAGCACGUUGUUAUUUGGCCAAAUUGUAUCUUCCUUUGGGCCGAGCACAAUUCGCAUAAAUAACUCCGUACAAAACAUCUAUGUAUUUUCAAUUAAAUCAAUCUACACAAUAGGGGUUACUUUGGCAACAUGUUGCUUUAAUCAAUUAAAUUGAAUAUACUAUACAUCCAAAGGGAACAAUCAAAACCAAAGUUUUGAAUUUAUUUUAAAACUUAAAAUUGGAAAAAAUGAAUUCUGAAAUAUGAAUGGGUUGAACAAAAUGAAUCAAUUUCCAAUUUUAUGUCUACCACAAUCUGUUUCUAAUUCCUUAUAUAUAUAUAUAUAUUUUAUUUUUUUUUAUUUUAAACCAAAAGGCACAUGUCUUGGACCCAUUAUGAAACAAAAGUCAACAAUUGCAACUGAAUCAUAUAAUGCAAUUGAAAUUGAUCCAUUGUGAAAGGUUACGUGUAUUACCAAUCUAUACUAAAUAUGCCAAAUAGUAUUCUGUCAUACACCAAUCUAUAUUGACUCCAUUAUGAGACAUAAAACAAGGGUCAAAAAAUGCGGCUAAUCCAUGCAGUUGAAAUUCUGAUUUCUGGAUCCAUAAUGAAGGUCACAGAUUUUGACAGUGAUCUACACGCUACCAAAAGUGAUGUAUCCAUUAUAAAC
rnacentral:lncRNA from 1 species